rnacentral:lncRNA from 1 species
ACCCCUGAUCCACCCGGGAUCCGCCCGGGAUCCUCUGGGAUCUUCCCGGGGUCCUCCUGGGAUCCUCCGGGAUCCACCUGGAUCUGGGAUCCUCCUGGGAUCCUCCGGGAUCUGCCCGGAUCUGGGAUCCGCCCUGAAACAACCCCUGAUCCACCCGGGAUCCACCCAGGAUCUGCCCGGGGUUCUCCUGGGAUCCGCCCUGAACCAAUCCCUGCUGCUCCCGGGAUCUGGGAUCCGCCCUGAAACAACCCCUGAUCCACCCGGGAUCUGCCCGGGAUCCUCUGGGAUCUUCCCGGGGUCCUCCUGGGAUCCUCCGGGAUCCACCUGGAUCUGGGAUCCGCCCUGAAACAACCUCUGAUCCACCCGGGAUCCGCCCGGGAUCCUCUGGGAUCCGCCCGGGGUCCUCCUGGGAUCCGCCCUGAACCAAUCCCUGCUCCUCCCAGAUUUGGGAUCUGCCCUGGAUCAACCCCUGAUCCUCCUGGGAUCUGGGGUUUUUGGGAUCCCCCCCUGAACCAAUCCCUGCUUUUCCCGGGAUCCUCCGGGAUCUGGGAUCCCCCCAGGAUCAACCCCUGCUCCUCCC